UGGACUGGCUGAGAGGUCGGGGUGCCCGAAAGGGAGCCAUAACACAGGUGCUGCAUGGCUGUCGUCAGCUCGUGUCGUGAGAUGUUGGGUUAAGUCCCGCAACGAGCGCAACCCUUGUCCCUAGUUGCUACGCAAGAGCACUCUAGGGAGACUGCCGGUGACAAACCGGAGGAAGGUGGGGAUGACGUCAAGUCCUCAUGGCCCUUAUGGGUAGGGCUUCACACGUCAUACAAUGGUCGGAACAGAGGGUCGCCAACCCGCGAGGGGGAGCCAAUCCCAGAAAACCGAUCGUAGUCCGGAUCGCACUCUGCAACUCGAGUGCGUGAAGCUGGAAUCGCUAGUAAUCGCGGAUCAGCAUGCCGCGGUGAAUA
rnacentral:rRNA from 1 species